AACAUCGCGCACCUGCGGGAACCUGCGGAGGGAUCAUUAGCGAGUUGCAAAACUCCCAAACCAUUGUGAACCUACCUAUACCGUUUCUUCGGCGGGCGGCCUACGCCCUAACCUGCCGCCCCUUCGCGGGGCUGGCGGACCCGCCGGAGGCCCCUAAACCAUUAGCUUAUUUGGCACUUCUGAGUACAACUUUCAAUUAGUUAAAACUUUUAACAAUGGAUCUCAGAUCGGAAGAGCACA
rnacentral:misc_RNA from 1 species